rnacentral:lncRNA from 1 species
AAAAUAACUUUCCUAUCUAUUCUACUUAAAAUGGUAAUAUUCAUCCAUUAAUCUAGUAUUUUCUGUUCUCCUGUGCUUCAAUUUUCUUCAGUUUCAACAAUUAACACAAUGCGGUAUUAUACAUCUAUUAUACUUACUUAUUUUUCCUAUUGUCUCCUUUCUAGAUAAAUCCUAUGAGGCCAGAAAUAUUUGUCUGUUUAAUAUUUCCAGUUUUAAGAAUAGACUGGUUCAGUGAAGCAUUCAGUGAAUAUUUGCUAAAUGGAUUAAUAUAUUUAGUCUGAAACUUAACGUGAAGUCAAAACUGAUUACUACUCUUACACUUCAAAAAUCUGAUGAAAGCAAGCAUGCAGAUGGUUUGUUCUUUUUCUGCUUAUGUUUAGCAUCUUAUUGCAAAGGAAAGUACAGUCCGGUUAUUGGUAGGUAGUCAGUGACUUGUAUGUAUUUUUCUAGUUAGGUCCACUUGCCAGCUGACAGGGUUAACUGUAUUUCUGCUCCUUUCAGGUCUGUUUCAUCAGCCAAUCUUAGAGAUGCCAGUGGUGCUUUAGUAAACAACAGGAGCCCUUUACCAGUUCUUCUUUACUAGCUGUUGCUGACAGUGGCAAGUUUCAGCUCACUCUUACCUUCCUGGAUCUUGUUCUCUAGAACAUCACUCCUCAUACUUCUAGCUUCUCAAGCCUCUGUUUCAUGCUACUCAGAUUCAGGUAACAAUUCUCAAAUAUCUGUCAUCCUUCCAUAUGGAGAAGUGUCUCUUUUUGUUUUACUUUUAUUCCACGCCCAUUCAUGCCCUAUUCUAGGAAGGUGGGAGAGUUGUGUGAUUGUUGCAUGCAGGUUUCCUUUGUUUAAGAAAGCUAUGAAAGAGAUUUUUAAACAGAAUUUGAUAUAUAACAGAUAUUUGGAUAUAAAAAAUGAGAGAAGAGAUGGAUUGGUAAUGGAUGAAUAGAUGUUUUACUAUUUUGUAUUAUAUGUAUAAUUUCAAUGCCUGCUUAUUAUUAUAAUCAAUUAUCUUGCUGUUUUUACUCACCCAAGCCCUAUAGUGGUAAUUUGGUUUGUUUUAUGUUGUGACAAUAAUAUUAGUAAUAGGUAAUAUUAAUUGUAUACCUAUUAUAUGCAGACAGUUUAAAUGAACUUAUGUAGUGCAUGCUGAGUCCCUUCAGUCAU